rnacentral:lncRNA from 1 species
UUGGGAGUGUCUUCGUGUGAGUAACUUUCUUUGGCAACCUCCCCUCCCCCCAAGACCACAUGAAAAAGUAAAGAAAACCCGUUUAUUCUAGGGAAGGGAUAUUGUUAUCUUCUGGAUUAUGGAGGAUGUGAAGAUGACAUAUGAAAUGUGCAUGAACGAACUUGAACAGGAUUGCAGGUGGGCCAUUAACUAUCACAUAUGUUAAGCGAUAUGUUAAAAAUUACUUCCUUAAAAAAUUUUUUCUUCCUUGUUGUGAAGUAAUUCUAUUAUAUUCUCAAAGAAACCUGCUGUGAAAAAUUCUGUUUAAAAGUCUUCUUUCAAGGUCAGUUUGCAGACUUAAUUAAUAUGGAUUGGUGAGUGAUUAUGCAAUUCUAGAAACAAAUAUUACUGGAUUUGGUUAUAAUGAGUAUUUUAUAGAGAAAGUCAAUACACAGAGUGUGUUUUCAGUCUUUGUCAUCUGGUUCUAGUCUCUGUUUGGCAACAGGAUUUUAUACGUGGCUCUGUUAGUGCAGCCAAAAACCUUGCAUACUUCACAACUUGCCACUCUUUUCAAAGAUUUAGUUAGGGACUGAAGCUUAUAGCACAUGCUGCUGGAUUAAGCAUCCAAAGUGAGAGUCUCAUGGGCCUAAAAUAUCUCUUGUACCCACACAUUUCCUGGUAGGCCGAACUUCACAAAAUAAACAUAGAUGACCUCUCAUCCAUCCAGUCUUCCGGAAAGUUUAGAAAUGAUGCAACCUUUUGGCAAUAUGACAUGACACAUUGCUUUACUUGCGCAGAGCAUGAACUUCCUUCAUUCUGCACAACCCCAGACAAACAAGCAUUUACAUUAGCACUGCCCAGAUUCUG